AUGUCCGUCUGUAGUUGGGACAUAUUGUGAUACACCAAUGUCCGUAUGUCUGUCUGUAGAUGGGACGUGUUUUGGUACAGCAAUGUCAGUAUGUCUGUCUGUAAAUGGGACAUAUUAUGGAAUAACAAUGUCUGUAUUUCUGUUUGUAGAUGAGAUGUAUCAUAUACUACAGCAAUCUCUGUUUUUCUGUCUCUAGAUGGGAUGUAUGGUACAGCAAUAUCUGUAUGUAGAUGGGAUGUAUUAUGGUACAGUAAUGUCUGUAUGUCUGUCUGUAGACGGGGUAUAUUAUGGUAUAUCAAUGUCUGUAGGUGGGACGUAUUAUGGUAUAUUAAUGUCUGAAUGUCUGUCUGUAGACGGGGCAUACCAUGGUACAUCAAUGUCUGUAAGUCUGUUUGUAGGUGGGACAUAUUAUGUUACAGCAAUGUAUGUAUGUCUGUCUUAGGAUGGGAUGCAUUGUCAACUAUCUGAAUGCUUUGUUAUGAUGUAUGAAGUGCCCUCUAAUUUCAGGAAUUUUAGGGUCUUUAGGGGGCUGAAAUAAGGUUCCAUUCCCAAUGCUAAAAAGCAGGUAUUUUCCCAUUUUGUACUUGGAAAUUCCCAAACAAUGAAAACAAAUCAAACUAGGGUAGCCUAAUUGAUCAUAAACCUUCACAGGCCCACAGAUUACAAUUUUUGCCUCAAAAUUGUUAUGUAAACCUAAUAUUUUGACCUCUGCUUAUUUGAAUGGGUAAACGUUGACCAAAUUGAAAGUCAGAAAGAAUUCAGUUCUACCUUAAUUCACCCUGGAUUGGUUUUCUCCCUACUUCUUUGUGAAACGUUUCUCCCUACUUCUUUGUGAAACAUUUCUCCCAAGUUCAAACAAAUGUCAUUAUUUUUCCCAUUGGAAAGGCCCAGGUCCUUCAAAUGAAGACCUUAAAGAACAGAAUUUAAAAUGUAAAAUCCAUUGCCCCUCCGUCAGGGUCAGGCUCCAAAACAGGGUCAGUAUAGAAACAUUAUUAUUGCCUUAGUAUCCUUAUUGUUACAGAUAACCAAUCCUCAGGUGACCGAUAAGGCCAGUGAGUCUCCUGUUUAGAUUGAUUGAUUGUUUUGAUGUUUUCCACCACACUCAACAAUUUUUCAGUUAUAUGUAGGCGCCCAGUUUUUAUUGGUGGAAGGGAGAACUCAGAUACAUUGUACCUGGAAAGAGACCACCGACCUUCCGAAAGUAAACUGGGAAACUUUCUCACUUACCAGCGUGAGCGGGAUUCCAACCCGUGCCGACAGCUCGGUGAGAGGCCGUGUGAUUUUGAAAGCAAUGCUUUAACCACUUGGCCUGGCACGGAGGCCCCUCUCCUGUUUUAGAAAUAACAAGCUGGCUUCUUUUGACAUAAUGCAUGAGGAUUUUAAUUUGUUCAAACUUUCAUUUACCUGUCUGAUUUCUGGUCAUUCCAGCACUCAUUGUCACUUUGGGUUUUCAGCUCCUUGGGCCUCAUGAGAUGAUGACACCCUGCAGUAGGAGCAGUUCCUACCGGUAUCUCUUAAAAGCAGACAGAGGUUUUCUUAAGCACCUGAUCCAUUUCUGAAGACAAAUUUUUGUAUGGAGCUGGUCAAAUUUCUUUCUUUUUAGCUCACCUGAACCGAAGGUUCAAGUAAGCUUUUCUGAUCACGUUUUGUCCGUCGUCCGUCUGUCUUUCUGUCCGUCCAUCUGUCCAUCUGUAAACUUUUCACAUUUUCGACUUCUUCUCCAGAACCACUGGGCCAAUUUCAACCAAACUUGGUCAAAAGCAUCCUUGGGUGAAGGGCUUUUAAGUUUGUUCAAAUGAAGGGCCAUGUCCCUUUCAAAGGGGAGAUAAUGACAAAAAUGCAAAAAUAGGGUGGGGUCAUUUAAAAAUCUUCUUCUCAAGAACCACUGGGCUAGAAGAGCUGAAAUUUACCUGAAAGUUUCCUGACAUAUUGGAGAUUUAAGUUUGUUCAAAUCAUGGCCCCCGGGGGUAGGAUGGGGCCACAAGGGUGGAUCAAAGUUUUACAUACAAAUAUACAGUGGAACCCCGUUAUUACGUUCCCCCUUUAAUACGUUAGUCCGCAUAUUACGUUGGAAUUUCAAAGCACAAAACCAUUUCUUAACAAACCUAUAUAAAAUAGACCUCGUUAUUACGUUGUCCUAAGAUGCCGGGACUCGGUAUUACGUUGUAAAAAUUCCGACGAAAACGUAAUAAACCCCUAAUUAUUCAAUAGUGAUUCUCAAAAUAAUAAGCCAUUCACACCUUGACUGCCUGAGGCAGUCACCACGUAAAUUUCCUGGUCUGUUUGGGGAUUAGAGACGCUUGACUGAUCACGCUUCAAUAGAUCUUGCGACAUCAAUACAGGUGAAUACCCAGUAUCGAAGCCAGUGAUAAACAAUUAAAUAAUGUUUAUUUAGAAAUUGUACUCUAUGAAAGUUACUUCAUUUUUCAUAUUUUGAUAAUCAAAGAAAUAAUUUCUCAACUACCUUCGUGUUCAGCAUAGUGUGAUUACCUUCGCUAUUAAAACUCUAUUUACGGACAGCUUUGGUACCAAACAUGAAAGACAAGAUUUAUCGUAGCAAUGUUAAAACCGCUUGGGUAACUUCUUGGACUUCUUCUCAGAAUUGUUAUGUAAACCUAAUAUUUUGACCUUUUCUUAUUUGAAUAGGUAAACUUUGACCAAAUUGAAUGUCAGAAAGAAUCCAGUGUUACCUUAAUUCACUCUGGAUGGGUUUUCUCCCUACUUCUUUGUGUGAAACAUUUCUCCCAAGUUCAAACAAAUGCCAUUAUUUUUCCUAUUGGAAAGGCCCAGGCCCUUCAAAUGAAGACCAUAAAAAACAGAAUUUAAAAUGUAAAAUCCAUUGCCCCUCUGUCAGGGUCAGGCUCCAAAACAGGGUCAAUAUAGGAAAAUUAUUAUUGCCUUUGUAGCCUUAUUGUUACAUAUAACCAAUGCUCAGGUGACUGAUAAGGCCAGUGAGUCUCCUGUUUAGAAAUAACAAGCUGGCUUCUUUUGACAUAAUUCAUGAGAAUUCUAAGGUAGUACUCUACAUUGUCAUAAUGGCUGACUUCCUUUAAAGACAUGGAUGAAAAAAAUCGAUAUCAGCAAUAUUUGACUUUUGCUUUUCCAGGUAUUUAACCUAGCCGAGUAGCUCAGUAGGUUAGAAUACCGACUGCUGAACUGUAGGUCACAGGUUCGAGUCCAGCAGGAAUUUUAAUUUAUUUUUUUUCAGAAUACCUUCUACUAAAACUGUAUUUUUGACAUCAUAAAGUAAAUUUGAAAAUUUUCAACUUCAAAAUAUUCUUGUACAUAUCCUCCACUUUUCAUCUACAUCAAAUUUCUCUGGUGUAGCAUACGUCCUUAAUUUGUUCAAACUUUCAUUUACCUGUUUGAUUUCUGGUCAUUCCAGCACUCAUUGUCACUUUAAUUUUUCAGCUCCCUGGGCCUCGUGAGAUGGUGACACCCUGCAGUAGGAGCAGUUCCUACCGGUAUCUCUUAAAAGCAGACAGAGGUUUUCUUAGCAUCUGAUCCAUUUUUGAAGACAAAUUUUUGUAUGGAGCUGGGUAGCAGUUACUUGAGAUGUCCGGCUGAUUGAUGAGGAUACUUUCCCCGAGACUUUAACAUUUUGUAGGACUUCAAUAGCUCUAUUGCUGUAGAAAAUGUCAGGACGGUGGAGAUUUAGAUAAGUGGUGUGAUGUUAUUGAUGGUAAACAGAAGACUGUGACCUUGAAUCUGAAGAUCUGUGAUGAAGACUGGACGUUUGGGGUCACUCUCUGUUACAGUACUACAAAUCUAACAGUGUCACGCUCAGUCACAAAGAGGUUGUCUCUGAUGUCCACACAUAAACCUAAUGGAAGUUCUAAAUCACAGUGAAUGUAACGGAGGAACUGUCCGUCCUGAUCUAGGAUGUGGAUACGGUGAUUG